GCUGUGGAUACCAUGGCGCACUUAAUGGAAGGAAGGUCCUUAUUACCACAAUUAUACAUUAUAAAAUGGUAGCAUACCUACAACCUAGCGCACAAAAUGACGCCAUCUGUGGAAUGGUCCAAAUUCCUUCUUGUAGGCUACUUUCCAGCACAUGUCUGAAGCAAUCUUAACUGGAAUGUUAUGUAAAUAAUGAGCUGGUUCCAGCUGUUCGACACGUCUUGGAAGAGAAAAUACAUUUUGGGAUAUAGACUAGGCUACAGACGCAACCAACAUUCAUACUGCUGUCUGGACUGAAGAUGAACGUGGUACCUUCAGGUGUUUGGAAGUUGCUCCCAAGGAUGAACCAGACUUAUGGAGGUCUACAAUUUUUUUCUGAGGUCUUGGCUGAUUUCUUUUGAUUUUCCCAUGAUGUGAAGUAAAGAGGCACUGAGUUUGAAGGACCUGAGCCCUAGGACCAUGCCUCAGGACUACCUGGCAUGAUGACUCCUUGCUGUCCCCAGUCCACCUGGCCGUGCUGCUGCUCCAGUUUCAACUGUUCUUCCUGCGGCUAUAGAACCCUGACUUUUUCACCGGACGUGCUACCUGUCCCAGACCUGCUGUUUUCAAUUCUCUAGAGACAGCAGGAGCGGUAGAGAUACUCUCAAUGAUCGGCUAUGAAAAGCCAACUGACAUUUACUCUUGAGGUGCUGACUUUUUGCACCCUCGACAACUACUGUGAUUAUUAUUAUUUCACCAUGCUGGU
rnacentral:lncRNA from 1 species